rnacentral:rRNA from 1 species
AGUAAUGUCUGGGAAGCUGCCUGAUGGAGGGGGAUAACUGCUGGAAACGGUAGCUAAUACCGCAUAACGUCGCAAGACCAAAGAGGGGGACCUUCGGGCCUCUUGCCAUCGGAUGUGCCCAGAUGGGAUUAGCUAGUAGGUGGGGUAACGGCUCACCUAGGCGACGAUCCCUAGCUGGUCUGAGAGGAUGACCAGCCACACUGGAACUGAGACACGGUCCAG